rnacentral:rRNA from 1 species
GACGAACGCUGGCGGCGUGCCUAAUACAUGCCAGUCGAACGAGAGCGACCGGUGCUUGCACUGGUCAAUCUAGUGGCGAACGGGUGAGUAACACGUGGGUAACCUGCCCAUCAGAGGGGGAUAACAUCCGGAAACGGAUGCUAAAACCGCAUAGGUCUUCGAACCGCAUGGUUUGAAGAGGAAAAGAGGCGCAAGCUUCUGCUGAUGGAUGGACCCGCGGUGCAUUAGCUAGUUGGUGAGGUAACGGCUCACCAAGGCCGUGAUGCAUAGCCGACCUGAGAGGGUGAACGGCCACAUUGGGAUUGGGAACCGGCCAAAACCCUACAGGGAGGCAGCAUGGGGGUAUCUUGCGCAAGGGCAGCAAGUCUGACGGAGAAACGCGGGGGGAGUGAAGAAGGUUUUCGGAUCGUAAAACUUUGUUGUUAGAGAAAAACAAGUGCAGGGGUAACUGUUCGCGCCUUGACGGUAUCAAACCAGAAAGCCACGGCGAACUACUG